rnacentral:rRNA from 1 species
UACGUAGGGGGCAAGCGUUGUCCGGAUUUAUUGGGCGUAAAGAGCGUGUAGGCGGCCAAGCAGGUCCGCUGUGAAAACUCGAGGCUCAACCUCGAGAGGUCGGUGGAAACCGUUUGGCUAGAGUCCGGAAGAGGAGAGUGGAAUUCCCGGUGUAGCGGUGAAAUGCGCAGAUAUCGGGAAGAACACCAGUGGCGAAGGCGGCUCACUGGCCCGGUACUGACGCUGAGGUGCGAAAGCGUGGGGAGCAAACAGGG